AUUAUAAAAAUAUUUUUAUGAUUAGUUUUUAAAAAUUAUUUUUAUUUAUAGUGGAUUAGUAUUGAAAAAUAAUUUUAAUUUUAUUUUUUAAGAAAUUUUUAUUAAUUGUAUCUUGUGUAUCAGAGUUUAUUAAAUUAAAUUUAUUUAAAUAUAAAAAUUUCGAAUUUUUUUGAUCUAUAAAUAUUUAAAAAUUAAUAUUUUAUAAUUAUUAGUAAAGUAUUUAUUGAAAUUAGAAGUUAUUCGAAAAAAAUGAUAUCUAAUUAUUUUAAAAAUUAAUUUAAUUAAUUUAUAAAAAUUAUUAAAUCUAUAUUAAAUUUUAUAUUUAAUUUUUUAUAAAAAAAUUUUUAAGGAUAAGCUUAAAUAUUGAGUUAUAAAUAUAAAUAAAGAUUUAAAAUUGUAGAGUUAAUAUUUUUAUCAUUAGUAAAUUAUUAUAAAUAUUUUAAUAAUUAUAAAAAUUUAUUUUGUUUUAAUUUUGAGAUAAAAUUAUUUUUAUAAAUAAUAUUAAAAAGAAAUAAUGAUAAAAUUAGUAUAAUAUGAUUAAUUGAUUUAAAUUAAUAAAAAAUUAUUAAAAGAACUAGACAAAAUUUUAUCCAUCUGUUUAUUAAAAACAUAUUUAAUUGAAUUGAAUAAUUAAUGUAUUCUGCCCAUUGAUAAAUUUAAAAGGCUGCAGUAUUUUGACUGUACAAAGGUAGCAUAAUCAUUUGUUUUUUUAUUGGAAACUUGUAUGAAAGAAUUAAUGAGAUAUUAAUUUUCUUCUGUAAUUUUUAGAAUUUUUUGUUUAAG
rnacentral:rRNA from 1 species